GGCUCGGGGGUCGUGGUGCUGAGGGAGGGAGGCAGGGAGAAAGGCAGCGAGCCCUCCGUCAGCAGCCUUUCCACCGGUGUUAAAGCACCUUCAUGCUGCUUUAGUCCCCCUGAAGAGGAGUGUGUGUGGUAAUUAAUGGGUUGUCUCCGCUCAUUAGCAACACCACAGCCAUCCCCGCUUCUUCUCGGCCUGCAGAUGUCAGCGGGGGUUUUGUGCUUUUGUAGGGCGAAGCCUUCCUGAAGAAGCCUCCCCAAACCACGUAAAGCCCCAGGGCCUUGGUGAUUGUGCAACGCCGCCCCAGCGCGAGCACCUCUGGUCCUGAGCCUCGCACACCCCACGCAGAACAUGCGAACCGGCACGUACCUGCGUGACGGGUACAAGGAGCAGCCAAAGCUGCCAUGAGGCAACCUACAGGUUCCUGGGGCGGGCAGGGAGAUGCUGCCUCCCGUCCCGCUUCAGAGGCCCGCGUUGUGGACCUCCAGAGGCCUUCUCUUUCACAGAGAAGGUUUUUAAACAUGACAGUGAAAAAUCCGUGCAAUUUCGAAAUAUACUAGCCAAGAAACUUGGUCUCAGAGCAUCGAGGGUUCCUGUGGAAUUUUAGAUGUCGGACCCCUGGAGCUGACACGGUCGAGAAGCUUUACAGUGACUGCAGCUUUAGUCUUCUGCAUUGGGACAUUGCUGGAAGCUAACGGCAUGUCCCACUCUCUCAGUUUGCAACAUUACUUCCAAGGGGUGUUCAUCUCUCAUAGUCUGGCAGAAAGAAGCCUGCAUGGGAUUCUUGAAAUCUGAAAUGUAGUAAAAUAGCAUUUGUUUAAAUAGCACAGUGAUAGCUUACACUGUUUUUGUAUACUGGUAACUUUGCCAUAUUUUGUAAUGUCAGUAUAUUUUUCACGCACAAGUAUUUAUGUUUAAAAAGUUCAUAGAGUUCUUUGUAAAGUAUUUCAAAAGAGCCCUUGAGAUUUUUUUAUUAUUAUUAUGCCACCUUUAAACAGGCAGUCAAGUGCUACUUGUCUAAUUAAGUUGGAAUGAAAGGUAUUGCUGAAAGUAGUUGUAGCAACUUUCUAUGGCAGAACACUUUACUAAUAGAUGGUUGUAUAUUUUUAGAAGGUAAACUUAAUUAAAAGCCCUAAUACUUUGUCUUCUGUGCUUUUAUGCUUUAGCAUAGACUAUACACAUGUAUUGGGAAGUGUUAGCUAUCAUGGUGCAGGCAGUUGCACAACUGAGCCCCCCUAACAUGCCAAAUAAAUUCUUAUUCUGUAAGUAGUUGCUUACUUUAGAUACUGCCUUACACAGAUAGGGGUGGCAGAACAGUGAUCAUGUAGUUUUGGUACAAAAUACGUUAUCUGAAAAGCACGUGCAAAUUUUACAGCAUUGUUUGGCUACGAUUUAUUUAUUUUAUUUAUUUAAAAAACAAAUAAACAAAACAUAGAUUUUGUUAAUUCUAAAUUUGCAUAGGCAAGAAAACACUGCAAGAACUUGAUGACUCUCUGUUGCAAAAUAUAAGCGGUUGAAUUUAAGAUCAGAUGAAGUUUUUGUGGCCCCGUGGCACCACCGAGUGGCACCACCGUGAAUAGCAGCGCAGUCGUAGGAAACAGAUUUGUGUAAAAAAGGUAGCAGAUCUGCCUUGAACAUAGCCUCUUUCAGUUUGCUUGGGAUGGUGAAACAAAUGAAUCUGAAAUUUAUUUUUUUAUUCUGAGCUAAUGUGAUAUAGCAAUAAGGAGACAUAAAAUUUGUCACUGAAAUAUUUAGCAGGAAGAUUGUGUUUUGGUAACAUUAAAAAUGGCAGGAACAUACUACUGAGACUAUAAACAUCAAAUAAAGCAAGCAAUCUAUUUCAUACUAAUUUCGAUACAAACAGCAGUUUAAUGUUAAUCUUCAAGUCUCUUAAUGGAUCUGACCAAAGGUAUCCUAAGGACACUUUCUGGCAGUGAGGAAUAUAAAAUGUUUCUUAUAUCAUUCUCCAAAGAAUCAGAGCAGAAGGUUGA